GGUGGACUAUCCCUUUAAUGUUCACCCAAAAAUGACCAAAUAGUUGACAGCAACCAUUGACUUCCCUUGUAUUUUUUUUCAUACUGUGAAAGUCAAUGGCUACCGUCAACUGGU